rnacentral:rRNA from 1 species
UACGUAGGGUGCAGGCGUUAAUCGGAAUUACUGGGCGUAAAGCGUGCGCAGGCGGUCUGCUAAGAGAGAUGUGAAAUCCCCGGGCUUAACCUGGGAACUGCGUUUCUAACUGGCAGGCUUGAGUGUGGCAGAGGGGGGUGGAAUUCCACGUGUAGCAGUGGAAAUGCGUAGAGAUGUGGAGGAACACCGAUGGCGAAGGCAGCCCCCUGGGCUAACACGUGACGCUCAUGCACAAAGCGUAGGGGAGCGAAACAG